AUUGAACGCUGGCGGCAGGCCUAACACAUGCAAGUCGAACGAGUGGCGGACGGGUGAGUAAUGUCUGGGAAACUGCUCGAUGGAGGGGGAUAACUACUGGAAACGGUAGCUAAUACCGCAUACCAUCGGAUGUGCCCAGAGGGGAUUAGCUAGGAGGUGGGGUCACGGCUCACCUAGGCGACGAUCCCUACCUGGUCUGAGCGGAUGACCGGCCACACUGGAACUGAGACACCGUCCAGACUCCUACGGGAGGCAGCAGUGGGGAAUCUUGCACAAUGGGCGCAAGCCUGAUGCAGCCAUGCCGCGUGUGUGAAGAAGGCCUUCGGGUUGUAAAGUACUUUCAGCGGGGAGGCGGUACCCGCAGAAGAAGCACCGGCUAACUCCGUGCCAGCAGCCGCGGUAAUAC
rnacentral:rRNA from 1 species